rnacentral:rRNA from 1 species
GGCUUAUUGUUUAUUUAUAUUAAGUCUUACCUGCUCAAUGAUAUUUUAUAUAUUAAAUAGCCGCAGUAUAUUGACUGUGCAAAGGUAGCAUAAUCAUUUGUCUUUUAAUUGGAGACUUGUAUGAAUGGUUUGAUGAAAUAUUUACUUUCUUUAUAUAAAAUCAGGGAAUUUAAUAUUUUAGUUAAAAAGCUAAAAUACUUUUAAGGGACGAGAAGACCCUAUAGAAUUUUAUACUUUUGAAUUUAAUUUAUAUUUGGUUAUUUUUGAAUUUUAUUUUUAAAAGUAUUUUGUUGGGGUGACGGGGAAAUUUUCUUAACUUUCUUUAUUUAUAUUUUAUUAAUAUAUAUAUUUAUGAUCCUACUUUGUGGAUAUUUGAAGAUUAAAUUACCUUAGGGAUAACAGCGUAAUUUCUUUGGAGAGUUCUUAUUGAUAAAGGAGUUUGCGACCUCGAUGUUGGAUUAAAAUUGGUAUUAGGUGUAGAAGCUUAAAUUACUAGGUCUGUUCGACCUUUAAAAUUUUACA